AAACCCCUCUUCCAAAAUAUAAAAAACGAGAAGCAUUAGAAUAUCCCUGAUUAUCCGUCCAUGCAUCGUCACGUUAAAUAAUUAUGGGGACACAAACAAACACCGUGCCGUCGCGACCACACGCUCCGCCUCUUCGUCAAACCAGACACAUUCUACGACUUGUGCUAAGCCGUAAUUGAGCACAGGGUGCCCAGGAAAACCAGGGGCUGCUCUGCACAGACCUGAGUUUUUAUAGUGCCUUAGCUCCUAUUUUUCCAUCUCCGCCAGACACCAUCAAACCGACCAGGCGUGUUAGGAAGUUGCCACCUACACGGACUAAGGAGCCAAAGUCGUCCAGCGACAAAUAAAAAAAAUAGACAUUCUAAACCUAAACAGGUCACAGAAAUGUUGGGAGAGGGCGAUGGCGACGACAGAGGGACAGAGGAGGGACCACACAAGGACAAACCUCGACUAGUGGGAACACGAUUCAACUCCAUGGUCAAUGGGAGGACGUGGCUUUAGCCGUACUAUCUCUUGGGUCAAUUCAAGGGAUACGACUGAUAUCAGUCUCUCAUCGAACUCCCAUGGACAGAGUGCCACAAAACAUGUAAAAUGACAUCAGCGAUGGAGAGUGGACAACCGCAAGAACCGAACUAACCUUGUGUUGGAAUAUGGGUUAUAAUCAUUGUCGAUUUAGCUCAAAAUUGGCGAGCAAAUAACUUCACAAGGCAAAAGCUACAUUUAAAAAAAUCUCGCCAUGGACCUUUGGCUUAGCCUAUGUAAAUAAUGUUGCAAUGGCUAUAGCUUAAUAAAUUGUGAAACAAAA